rnacentral:rRNA from 1 species
GACGAACGCUGGCGGCGUGCUUAACACAUGCAAGUCGAACGAAGAGCGAUGGAAGCUUGCUUCUAUCAAUCUUAGUGGCGAACGGGUGAGUAACGCGUAAUCAACCUGCCCUUCAGAGGGGGACAACAGUUGGAAACGACUGCUAAUACCGCAUACGAUUUAAUCUCGGCAUCGAGGAUAGAUGAAAGGUGGCCUCUACAUGUAAGCUAUCACUGAAGGAGGGGAUUGCGUCUGAUUAGCUAGUUGGAGGGGUAACGGCCCACCAAGGCGAUGAUCAGUAGCCGGUCUGAGAGGAUGAACGGCCACAUUGGGACUGAGACACGGCCCAGACUCCUACGGGAGGCAGCAGUGGGGAAUCUUCCGCAAUGGACGAAAGUCUGACGGAGCAACGCCGCGUGAGUGAUGACGGCCUUCGGGUUGUAAAGCUCUGUUAAUCGGGACGAAAGGCCUUCUUGCGAAUAGUGAGAAGGAUUGACGGUACCGGAAUAGAAAGCCAC